GUGAUGUGCGGAGUGGAGAGCGGAGCGACAAAGAAACGGAGUCGGAGAAACCAGUAAAAAUAAGAGUAAAACCAACGUUUGAGUCAUCGCUUUGUCACUUGUUUUGUCAUCUGUUAGGUUUGUUAGUGAAGAACUGAGGAAGUGUGGAUGUUUAGACAAGCUUUGGAGCUGUUUUUGUCGAUUGAGGCUGGACGCUCAACACACCUGCGGAGCUAAGGACUGAGAGUUGAAGCAGGAAACAGCUGAGCUGACAGAAGAGACAGACGUGAAGAUUUCCACAAGUGUCACCACUUUGUCCAUGAGUCCAGAGACACGUCCAUCCAGAUCCAAGACAGAGAGGCGCAGGCGUCCAUCCAGGUGAACUCACAGAAACCAAUGAAUCCACUAAAAGUGAAGGAGGAGUCGUCGUCGUCACAGCAGCUGAAGUCCUGGAGCUGAAGUGGAUGAAAGAAAACAACAGUUAUGAAGAUGUUAAUGAGUAAAACAGAGAGAAAACCUCCUGCUCUGCUCCUUCAUGUUGUCACAGUGCAGACACUUUGUUUUACCUCCCUCUAUAACGUAGCUGUGAUCAAACAUGUCUCUGUGUUUAACUGCUUCUGUGUUAGAAGCAGUUAAACACAGAGACGUGUGUGAUCACAGCUACAUGACGUGUUCUGGCUCAGAGAAUAAAACAAAGUGUUUCAGUCAAACUUCUGUCAUUAUCUUGUCUGUGGUUUGUUAAAUGUCUGAAACUAAAAUCAUUAAAAUGUUUCUGAUUAAACUUUUCAGUU